rnacentral:tRNA from 1 species
GAGCCAGUGGUUUAGUGGUUAUAACGCGGCGCUUACACCGCCGAGGCCGGGAGUUCAAUCCUCCCCUGGCUCA